rnacentral:rRNA from 1 species
GACGAACGCUGGCGGCGUGCUUAACACAUGCAAGUCGAACGGUGAAGCUCCAGCUUGCUGGAGUGGAUCAGUGGCGAACGGGUGAGUAACACGUGAGCAACCUGCCCCUGACUCUGGAAUAAGCGCUGGAAACGGCGUCUAAUACUGGAUACGAGAAGGGUCCGCAUGGGCACUUUCUGGAAAGUUUUUCGGUUGGGGAUGGGCUCGCGGCCUAUCAGCUUGUUGGUGAGGUAAUGGCUCACCAAGGCGACGACGGGUAGCCGGCCUGAGAGGGCGACCGGCCACACUGGGACUGAGACACGGCCCAGACUCCUACGGGAGGCAGCAGUGGGGAAUAUAGCACAAUGGGCGAAAGCCUGAUGCAGCGACGCCGCGUGAGGGAUGACGGCCUUCGGGUUGUAAACCUCUUUCAGCAGGGAAGAAGCGAAAGUGACGGUACCUGCAGAAGAAGCACCGGCUAACUACGUG